rnacentral:rRNA from 1 species
ACAGCAGCCGCCGCGGUAAUACGAAGGGGGCUAGCGUUGCACGGAAUGACUGGGCGUAAAGGGCGCGUAGGCGGUGGCCAAAGUCAGGCGUGAAAUUCCCGGGCUCAACCUGGGGGCUGCGCUUGAUACUUGGUUGCUUGAGUGGGGAAGAGGGUCGUGGAAUUCCCAGUGUAGAGGUGAAAUUCGUAGAUAUUGGGAAGAACACCGGUGGCGAAGGCGGCGACCUGGUCCUUGACUGACGCUGAGGCGCGAAAGCGUGGGGAGCAAACAGGAUUAGAUACCCCAGUAGUCCCUGUCUCUUAUAC